GCUGGGGCUCAGUGGAAGAGUGCUUGCCUAGCAUGUGUGAGGUUCUGGGUUCAAUUCUCAGCACUGCA
rnacentral:tRNA from 1 species